UGAGAGUUCUAAGAGCUUUCCUUACACUAGAUGUCAAGUUGUCCUUUGCAGGAGCAUCUGCUGGGAUACAAGGGAAGCCCUUCAGCAUCCCCUUCAUCCAAAGCCAGAGAUCUCUCCCUGAUUGAUUGAACAUCCUUCAGUUCUUUCCCUGUGUAGAUCUGAAUCUUUAUCUCCUACUGAAAUUUUAUGUACACAAGAUAUAGGGAACUGGAUCUGAAUUCACUGCCUUGACAAUGAAUUUCAAUCUUAUGUUAUGUCCUUCCUUGAAGGUCAGAAGAGGCUCCUUAAAUCUGAGAGCAAUGUAGCACCAUAAAUUCCAGGAACAUUUGUUUGUUUGAGUGGAAGUGAACCGCCCCAAUUUAAAUGGGAAAAAAAUUUUUAAAUAAACUACUGUAACAGAAUA